AUGUACAUGAAUACAACGUUAAUGCACCUAAUCCCAUCAAAACUCCCUAGUUAAGCAUGGUUGGGCUAUAGUAGUACUAGGAUAUGUGACCUCCUAGAAGUCCUAGUAUUUUACACG
rnacentral:rRNA from 1 species